rnacentral:lncRNA from 1 species
AAUCACAUUCAACUCAUAGUUUUUUUAUUCAAACCAUUUUAAGAAAAAAAUUAAAGCCCGAAAGACUUUAAACCUUCAGUCUCAGACUUCAAUUCAUCCAACCCAAUCUCAUUUCACCAUACCAUAUUCCAAUUUCCUAAUUAGUUAUCCUCACCCCCCACCCAAUCGUACCAAUUCUUCUAAAUUGCAAAAUAUUAGUGAUCUUAAAAAAAAUAUGAAAAAGGUCGCAUCGAGUAUUUUAAUAUGUACAUUUAUUUAGAGUGCGGAUAUACUCAUCCGUUUCUUUUAUUUCUCCACCUACUUUUUAAUAAAAAGGUUAUUCAGAGAUUUACACCUAGAAGCUGUGUUGAUUUUUAAUGUUCCAACUUCCAAUGAACUACGUUGCUCUCUCCGGCUCCUUUUCUUUCUCUACACCCUCACAAUAUAUCCUCAUUUUCUUGUUUUUUCUUUUUUAAUUUUUUGUUAUUCUUGUUAGUCACCAGAUUUGUUAAUUUUGGAAUUUUAGUUAUUAGGUUAUUUUUGGGAGCAGCCUCUCCAUAAAUGGGGGUAAGGCUAGCCGACAUUCACCUCUCCCAGACCCUGCGUAAAGCGGGAGCCUUGUGCACUGGGUACGACAUUUUUUUAGUUAUUAGGUUAUUUUUAAAUAAUAUCUUAGGUUAUUUUUAAAUUUUUUUUAUUGGAUAUAAUUGUGAUUCCUUACUUGACUAAGUUGACAUUCAAUUAAGAGAGUAUUAAAGAUAAAAUUUAGUAAUUAAUUAUAUUUUUAAUGUGUGAUUUUUCUCC